rnacentral:rRNA from 1 species
AUUGAACGCUGGCGGCAGGCUUAACACAUGCAAGUCGAACGAUGAUUAUCUAGCUUGCUAGAUAUGAUUAGUGGCGGACGGGUGAGUAACAUUUAGGAAUCUGCCUAGUAGUGGGGGAUAGCUCGGGGAAACUCGAAUUAAUACCGCAUACGACCUACGGGUGAAAGGGGGCGCACGCUCUUGCUAUUAGAUGAGCCUAAAUCAGAUUAGCUAGUUGGUGGGGUAAAGGCCCACCAAGGCGACGAUCUGUAACUGGUCUGAGAGGAUGAUCAGUCACACCGGAACUGAGACACGGUCCGGACUCCUACGGGAGGCAGCAGUGGGGAAUAUUGGACAAUGGGGGCAACCCUGAUCCAGCCAUGCCGCGUGUGUGAAGAAGGCCUUUUGGUUGUAAAGCACUUUAAGCAGGGAGGAGAGGCUAAUGGUUAAUACCCAUUAGAUUAGACGUUACCUGCAGAAUAAGCACCGGCUAACUCUGUGCCAGCAGCCGCGGUAAUACAGAGGGUGCGAGCGUUAAUCGGAAUUACUGGGCGUAAAGCGAGUGUAGGUGGCUCAUUAAGUCACAUGUGAAAUCCCCGGGCUUAACCUGGGAACUGCAUGUGAUACUGGUGGUGCUAGAAUAUGUGAGAGGGAAGUAGAAUUCCAGGUGUAGCGGUGAAAUGCGUAGAGAUCUGGAGGAAUACCGAUGGCGAAGGCAGCUUCCUGGCAUAAUAUUGACACUGAGAUUCGAAAGCGUGGGUAGCAAACAGGAUUAGAUACCCUGGUAGUCCACGCCGUAAACGAUGUCUACUAGCCGUUGGGGUCCUUGAGACUUUAGUGGCGCAGUUAACGCGAUAAGUAGACCGCCUGGGGAGUACGGCCGCAAGGUUAAAACUCAAAUGAAUUGACGGGGGCCCGCACAAGCGGUGGAGCAUGUGGUUUAAUUCGAUGCAACGCGAAGAACCUUACCUGGUCUUGACAUAGUGAGAAUCCUGCAGAGAUGCGGGAGUGCCUUCGGGAAUUCACAUACAGGUGCUGCAUGGCUGUCGUCAGCUCGUGUCGUGAGAUGUUGGGUUAAGUCCCGCAACGAGCGCAACCCUUUUCCUUAUUUGCCAGCGGGUUAAGCCGGGAACUUUAAGGAUACUGCCAGUGACAAACUGGAGGAAGGCGGGGACGACGUCAAGUCAUCAUGGCCCUUACGACCAGGGCUACACACGUGCUACAAUGGUAGGUACAGAGGGUUGCUACACAGCGAUGUGAUGCUAAUCUCAAAAAGCCUAUCGUAGUCCGGAUUGGAGUCUGCAACUCGACUCCAUGAAGUCGGAAUCGCUAGUAAUCGCAGAUCAGAAUGCUGCGGUGAAUACGUUCCCGGGCCU